rnacentral:rRNA from 1 species
GACGAACGCUGGCGGCGUGCUUAAUACAUGCAAGUCGAACGGAAAGGCCCUGCUCUUGUGGGGUGCUCGAGUGGCGAACGGGUGAGUAACACGCGAGUAUCCUGUCCUUGACUUUGGGAUAACUUCAGGAAACUGGGGCUAAUACCGGAUAGGAGCUCUUGCUGCAUGGUGGGGGUUGGUAAGUUUCGGCGGUUGUGGCUGGUCUCGCAGCUUAUCAGCUUGUUGGUCGGGUAGUGGCUUACCAAGGCUUUGACGGGUAGCCGGCCUGGGAGGGUGACCGGCCACAAUGGUCCUACGGUACGGCCCAGUAGCCUACGGGAGGCAGCAGGCGAGAAUAUUGCGCAAUAGGCGGGAGCCUGAUACAGCGGCGCCGCGUGCGGGAUGCCGGCCUACGAGUUGUGAACCACUGUCGCCUGUAACGAGGCGUGAGUGACGGUAAUGAGUAAGAAAGCACCGGCUAACUACGUG